AAGUCGUAACAAGGUAACCGUAGGUGAACCUGCGGUUGGAUCAUUAUUGAAGUUUACUUGUUUUUACACUAUUAACCUAGUGUAAUUACUAUACAUAACUUGUGAAAUGUUAUAGAUUGGUGUAUUUGGGAGGGGAUUAGUAGAAGAGUGACUAUGUAUUUGUUAUUUGUUACUUGUCUUUCCCUUCCUAUUUCUAUUAUAAACUUUGAAUACUAUUCUAUAAAUAUAUAUAAUACGGAUAGCCUUUUUCAUUUUGAAUGAAGAUAAAAAAUCAUCAUUUAAAAUGUUAUAAGAGUAAACGUUUACAUAAAAGUAAUAAAAAAAACUUUUGACAACGGAUCUCUUGGCUCUC
rnacentral:misc_RNA from 1 species